UUUUGAAAAUGUUAUCUUUUUUUAUUAUUAAAAACUAGAGUAGUUGAUAGAACAAUUAAACAAUUGCACAUGAGAUGUCAUGUUUACCUCAUAUUGCCGUAUAAAGAUCAAUUUUUAACAACAAAAUCAGAUAGAAUUUUAAUAA
rnacentral:pre_miRNA from 1 species